GUCGAUUUGACGCAGGAGUAUAAAUCAGGCUUAACGUUACCUUCAAUGAACGUCACUUUAAUGUGAAUUAUAACAAAUAAGUAGGACAACGUUUGAACUCUGUGAUCCUGAUCGGUCUGCUGUCCAGCUGCAGAGAAAAAGACUCAGACCAGAGCUUCAAAACAUCGCUGUCAUCACCCGAGGAUGACAUCACAGCUGGUUACGACAGUCUGAAGCUGCUCGAGCAGAUCGCCCGUGUGUGCGUCCAUGGCGGUAAUGGCUGCAACAUAAUCCUUUGAGAUGAAUGCAUCUAAACAAGGAACAUCCAGGAAAUGUGCUUUAAACAACUUUAAGAGAAGUGGAAAUCCUCCUGCUUCACUGAAGUCACUGGGGAUCCAACGUUUAGUCUUCCCGUCAUCAACUCACACUGAAUAUUCUGGCUUUGACUCUUACAUAAGAGACACUAUUGUUGAUAAGUUGUUAAAUAGUGUGACUGACCCCAGCCUUCUUACAUCAGUUUGUUUGUUUACAACACAGAGCUGACAGUAAACAGUUAAGAGGCCAUGUGUGACAAACUGUGGCUGAGACCCAGCUCACUUUGUGUUGCACACAAGACUAAAGACUGAUCAUAGAGCUGAAAAUAUCCACUGUUUUCAGGCCCACAUGUCUGUGAAAGCUUUACAUUAAUAGAACCCUGGAAACAGUCUUUGGCCUAACUUUAGCAGAUUUACAGUAAAAAGAUAUGAAGAAUAUGAACUGUCCUUGAUUUAAAGAAAUG